rnacentral:lncRNA from 1 species
AUUUGCUUAGGCAAGAAGACCGAAGGCAGUGGGAAACCUGCUUUAAAACCCUGACUCGGCCAUUCUUCCAGGCCUUGGAGCAGAGUCUUACUUCUGUCAAGCAGCAGAGGAUGAGAGAUUCUCAGGGCUCCAACCUGCUCCUACAAAUAGCUUAUGGCCAGAUGACUCCUUUUAAAGACCAGCCAAACCUUGGAUUGAUUGGCCUGUCCAACAUGUGGAAAUUUGAACAGAAGAUGUCCAUCCAGACCCUGAUGCAUCUCCUUCAGCAAGAACACAGAGAAGGCGAAGGAAACCGCUACCCUGUUCUUCUGGAGCUCGCAUCUAAGGUGCAAAACAUCCAGCAUGUCCAACAUCUGCCUGACAUUUUCAGUCUGCAGAAAGCUCUGAUCCACUUCUUUGAGAACAGCCAUAAUGGGAAAAGAUACUCAGUACAACAAUUUCUAGACCAACUUGAACCUUCAGAGGACCAGCGCUCAGCUUUCGGCCGAGCUAUAGGGACCAUUCAGAAAGUCUGGAGCAAUAUCAGAAUGAAACCACUGUGCUCAGGUAUUUUGACUUCCCAGGUAUUGUUACUUCCCUUUCCUAAGCCAUUGAUGAAGGCAGGAACCCAUGCUAGCUGCUGA